GGGACCCUAUUUGCCCUCCUGGCCUAGCACAAUGACUGCUCCUAGUCUCUUCUAUAACAGUUUCUCAGACUUCUGACAGUUUUGUAAUUUGUAGAAUAUCCUUCAUCGGAUACUUGUCUGAUGUUAUUCUCUUGGUUAGAAUGGGGUAGUGAGUUUGGGGAAGGACCACAGAAGUGAUGUGCCCUUCUUGUCACAUAGCAAGGGCGCACACUGUCAGAGUGACUCAUCAUUGUUGAUGUCACCCUUAGUCUUCUACCUAGGCAGCAUCUGUCAGUUUUUCCAUGGUUAGGUUUACUCCCACAUCCCUCUUUGGAAGCACAGCCCACAGCCAAUGUUUAAGAUGGCUUGUCCCUCAUCACUAAAUUUGGCUGCCUGAGCAUUCAGACAUCUCAAAUAUUAUCCUCAUUAACUGUUCUUCAUUUUUGUCUCCCUCUGGCAAGUUCCCUGUUCUCUUCUUCUUUCUUUUUAAAAUUAAUUUUAUUGGUACAUUUAAGGUAUACAAUAUAAUGACAUUCAUCAUUGGAAAUCUGCACCUUUACAUACUCUCUUCCUAUUUCUAUUCAGUCUCUAGUACUGCUGCAUUUUAUAUGAAUUUGAAAGUGCUACAUAAGAUAUUAGUAAAGUCAACUCCACAUGUAAAAUAUGAAAUAAAUGCCAAUAUUAAAAAAUGUCAAGAAGCCAGGUGAGGUGGCCUGCACCUGUAAUCCCAGCACUCUGCAAAGCUGAGGCUGGAGAAUUGCAAGUUCAAGCCCAGCUCGGGCAAUUUAGCAAGACUCUGUCUCAAAAAAUUUUUAAAAAACUUUUGAAGAGGGCUACGUAUGUAGUUCAGUGUGAGAGCCCUGGGUUUAAUCCUCAAUGUAUGUGGGGGAUGUUGGGGAAUGGGGAUCAGCAAGGAAAAUCUAAAUUGAAAUCUAUUGGGCUGAGGGAACUGUGCCAUUAUCAUAAGGUGGCACCACUAUUACUGAUGAAUCAAAGUAAUCCAGCUAACAUUGUUAUUUUCCUAUUGCUGAUGAGCAAAUUAUCACCCCAUUUAGGAGGGCAAAGUAAGUUUUUUUUCUCAGCAUGAAGGCUAGAAGUUUGAAAUAAUUUUCAUUGGGCAAAAGGUAAGAUGUCAACACACCUUCAAGAGUUUCUAAGGGGAGAACAUUUCCUUGCCUUUCAGCUUCUAGUGGCCAUGUUGCUUAAAUUCCUUGGCUUCCUCCAACCUCAAAGUGCAUCUUCCAAGCUUGGCAUGAUUGCAUAAGCCUAUAGGCCCAGCUACUCAGGAAGCUGAGAAAGACAUCUUGAGCCUAAGAGUUUGGGCCAGCCAAGGAACAUAGUAAAACACCAUUUCAAAAAAGAAAAAAAUCCAACAAAAUAAACAUAGAGCAUCCUCCAAUCUUUUCUUCCAUCAUCACAUUGGUGCCUUCCCUAACUCUUGAUUUCACUUGUGUUUCUCUUAACAAGGUGUGCUGAUACACACCUGCAGUCCCAGUACUGGGGAGGCUGAGGCAGGACUGCUGUGAGCUUAAGGCCAGCCUGAACUGCAUAGUAAGACUGUCUCAAAAAAAAAAAAAAAAGAAAAAAAAUAAAACAAA